CCUGACGGAGCAAUACCGCGUGAGGGACGAAGGUCUGUGGAUUGUAAACCUCUUUUGUUAGGGAAGAUAAUGACGGUACCUAACGAAUAAGCAUCGGCUAACUCCGUGCCAGCAGCCGCGGUAAGACGGAGGAUGCAAGCGUUAUCCGGAAUUAUUGGGCGUAAAGCGUACGUAGGCUGUUAGAUAAGUCUGUUGUCAAAGCGCGAGGCUCAACCUUGUAAAGGCAAUGGAAACUGUUUGACUAGAGAGAGAUAGGGGCAGGAGGAAUUCCAGGUGUAGCGGUGAAAUGCGUAGAUAUCUGGAAGAACACCAGUGGCGAAAGCGUCCUGCUGGAUCUCAACUGACGCUGAAGUACGAAAGCUAGGGGAGCGAAUGGGAUUAGAUACCCCAG
rnacentral:rRNA from 1 species